rnacentral:tRNA from 1 species
GUCUUCUUUAGCUCAGUCGGUUAGCGCGCUGCCUCGUACAAGAGGUUCCGGGUUCGAGUCCCGUGGAAGACA